ACUGAACGCUGGCGGCAGGCCUAACACAUGCAAGUCGCGCCAGCGGCGGACGGGUGCGUAAUGUAUGGGGAUCUGCCUGAUGGAGGGGGAUAACUACUGGAAACGGUAGCUAAUACCGCAUACCAUCAGAUGAACCCAUAUGGGAUUAGAUUGUAGGUGAGGUAACGGCUCACCUAGGCGACGAUCCCUAGCUGGUCUGAGCGGAUGAUCAGCCAAACUGGGACUGAGAAACGGCCCAGACUGCUACGGGAGGCAGCAGGGGGGAUGAUUGCACAAUGGGCGCAAGCCGGAUGCAGCCAUGCCGCGUGUAUGAAGAAGGCCUUCGGGUUGUAAAGUACUGUCAGUCGUGAGGCGUUACCGACAGAAGAAGCACCGGCUAACUCCGUGCCAGCAGCCGCGGUAAUAC
rnacentral:rRNA from 1 species